CCCUAACUAAAUCCUAUCUUUCAUACCAAUUCCCACGUUCCAGCCGCCCCCUCCCAUCCCUCCUCUCGCUGGCCUUCUCGCUGCAACUCACCCCUACCCCAACACCGCAGCGCCGCCGCCCUUUAUCUCCCUGGUGCCGCACCCCCAGCCACAGCCUCGCAAGCAGCACGAGUGCAGACGCCGCGCCCCCACUGAUAGUCGCGCCCUGCGCCAUAGUUUUCGGCGGCUCCUCCGGCACUCCCUUCUCGCCUUUCCAGCGCCGCUUUUGGCCCUCUGAUUUCUCACCUGAACAGAGGGUUGUGCCAAAUCAUUGUUUCUCUUUCAAGAAAUUGGAUAAAAGUUGGAUGAAUAAACCAAGACAUAGUGAACCGUAUAUGCUUGGAGUUGAGAAGUUUUUACAGUUUGUAUUUCGUAAUCAAUCAAGAAUGGAAUGAUUUUAUGUCCAUGCGUAGAAUGCAAACUUGGUAGAUGUGUUGGAAGAAGUGAUGCACGAGAACAUUUGAUAGUUAAGGGGUUUAUUAAAGGGUAUAAUGAUUGGGUAGCUCAUGGAGAGUUUUCAUCACAUAAUCCAAAUGGUUCUUCUUCUUCUUCGUUUGAUUAUAGGACUUCACAUGAUGCUGAUGACAUGUAUGGAUUAUUGCAUGAUGCUUUUGGAACUCCACAAUAUAGAAGUGAUGUACAUAGUCCGGUAGGAUUUCCUGAGGAUGCAGAAAUUGCCACUGGGGUUGUUGGAAAAUUUUAUAAGUUGAUUGAUGAUUCCCAAAAGAGUUUGUAUGAUGGAUGUGAGAAUUUCACAAAAUUGUCAUUCAUCAUACGUUUGUUGCACAUUAAAUGCCUUGGUAAAUGGAGUAACAAACACUUUGAAAUGUUGUUAGAAUUAUUACGAGAAGCUUUUCCUGAGGCAAUGGCCGACUUACCAAAGUCAUAUUACGAAUUUGAAAAAUUAAUAAAAGACUUGGGCCUUGGUUAUGAGAAGAUAGAUGUUUGUCCUAAUGAUUGCAUGUUAUAUUGGGGAGUGAACAAGGAGCAAAAAUCAUGUGUGACAUGUAAUGUGGUAAGAUGGCGUACUUCAGAAAAUGAUCCAACUGGUGAGAAAAGAAAGAUUGCACAGAAGGUUUUGUGGUAUUUUCCAAUUAAACCUAGAUUGUGAUGCUUGUUCAUGUCAUCAAAAACUGCAUGCCACGUGCAAUGGCAUGCUAAAAGUCAUACAAAUGAUGGGCAUAUGAAACAUCCGGUUGAUUCUCCCAUUUGGCAAACAUUUAAUAGCAAAUAUCCUGAGUUCGCCAAGGAUCCACGAAAUGUGAGGUUUGGAUUAUCUUCAGAUGGAUUUAAUCCAUUUAGUAAUAUGAGCGUGACACAAAGUACAUGGCCAGUUGUUCUAAUACCAUAUAAUCUUCCUCCGUGGAUGUGUAUGAAACAAUCAUAUUUCUUGUUAUCUUAUUAAUUCCUAGCCCAUCAGAGCCAGGAAAUAAUAUUGAUAUUUAUUUGCAACCUCUUGUUUCUGACAUGAAAGAUCUAUGGGAAGCUGGAAUAGAAACAUACGAUGCCUCAACUAAACAAAACUUUCAGUUGCGUGCAAGCUUAUUGUGGACAAUUAGUGACUUUCCAGGGUAUGCAAAUUUAUCAGGAUGGAGCACAAAAGGUAAACUUGCAUGUCCUGUAUGUCACAAAUUCACGCAAUCGCGUUGGUUAAAAUAUGGAGGAAAAUAUUGUUAUACGGGUCAUCGUAGAUUUUUGGAAAUAGAUCAUGCAUUUAGAAUAAAUGCUCGCUUGUUUGAUGGUACAGAAGAGUAUGAAGGGCCUCCACGCAGACCAUCGAGGGAUAAGUUGUUGGAAGAACUAAAAGACAUAAGUUUUACUUUUGGUAAAGAUGUCAAAACUAAUUCAGAAUUGCCACAUAACUGGAAAAGAGAAGUAUUUUCUUUGAGUUACCCUAUUGGAAAGAUAAUGUAAUACGUCACAAUCUUGACUUUAUGCAUAUUGAGAAAAAUAUUUGUGAGAGCAUUUGUUCGACUUUUCUACAGACGAAUGGAAAAACAAAAGAUAAUCUAAAGUCAAGACUUGACUUGGAAGAUAUGGGGAUUAGAACUCAGCUUUAUCCGAUUUCGAAGGGUUCUGACAAGGUAUACUUGCCUCCAACAUGCUUUACAAUGAAUAAGCAAGAAAAGAGCAUGUUCUGCAAUGUCUUGAAACGGGUAAAGGUACCUGAUGGUUAUGCAUCUAACAUAUCACGUUGUGUUCUGUUGAAACCACCAAAGCUCAUCGGUCUAAAAAGUCACGACUAUCACAUUCUGAUGCAACAAUUAUUACCAGUAGCCUUGAGGAGAGUUUUACCAAAAUCUGUUCGAUUUCGUUUGAUUCGAAUAAGUCAAUACUUUAGAGAAUUAUACUCUAAGGUAAUUUACCAUCCUAAUGUUGUUCGGUUUGAAAAAGAAAUUGUUGUAACUCUUUGUGAUUUGGAAAAGAUUUUUCCACCUUCGUUUUUUGAUGUUAUGGUGCACUUAACCAUUCAUUUAGCUACUAAAGUCAAACUUGGCGGCCCUGUUCAUUAUCGUUGGAUGUAUCCAGUUGAGAGAUAAUUACUAAAUUGCUAUAGUAUUUGUUUUCAUAUAUUUGUUAACAUAUGAAUUAAUUUGAUUUGUUUCAUGUGAAAUGAAAAUAUUUAGGAACACUAAAGUCAUAUGUUCGCAAUAGGAGUAGACCGGAAGGCUCAAUUGCACAAGGAUAUAUGGCUGAAGAAUGUUUAACAUUCUGCUCUCUGUACCUGGCAGAUUAUGUUGAAUCCAAAUUCAACAAAAAGAGUCAAAAUGAGAAUGAAUCGUUACAUACUAAUAGUAAUAACACCAAUGCACUUGUGUUGGAUGUAUUCACAUUGACUGGUCAUGGUGUUGGGAAAGGAACAACUAAAAAGCUUGAUGAUGACACACUUAGCCAAGCACACCAGUACAUUUUAUUUAAUUGUGAGGCAGUUAAACCUUACAUUGAGCAUCAUCGUGCAAUAGUAGAAAAAAAUCAUCCCCGUGUUGCAAGACAUCAGGUUGAACGCAUUCAUAGUGAACAAUUUGCUAAAUGGUUUUCUAAUCAUGU